rnacentral:rRNA from 1 species
AACAAACGCUGGCGGCGUGCCUAACACAUGCAAGUCGUACGAGAAAGGGUCCUUCGGGGCCUGAGUAAAGUGGCGCACGGGUGAGUAACGCGUGGAUAAUCUGCCCUUCAGUUGGGAAUAACUCAUCGAAAAGUGGGCUAAUACCGAAUAAUGCUGUGAGACCUCGGUUGAUCAGCCAAAGAGAGCCUCUGCUUGCAAGCCCUCGCUGAAGGAUGAGUCCGCGUACCAUUAGCUAGUUGGUAGGGUAAUGGCCUACCAAGGCGACGAUGGUUAGCUGGUCUGAGAGGAUGAUCAGCCAAACUGGAACUGAGACACGGGCCAGACUCCUACGGGAGGGAGCAGUGAGGAAUCUUGAGCAAUGGGGGCAACCCUGACGCAGCAACGCCGCGUGAGUGAGGAAGGUCUUCGGAUCGUAAAGCUCUGACGGAUGGAAAGAACCGCAUAGGGGUAAACAGCCCCUGUGUCUGACGGUACCAUCAAAGGAAGCACCGGCUAACUCCGUGCCAGCCGCCGCCGUAACAC